rnacentral:rRNA from 1 species
CCUACGGGCGGCAGCAGUGAGGAAUAUUGGUCAAUGGGCGAGAGCCUGAACCAGCCAAGUCGCGUGAGGGAAGACGGUCCUAUGGAUUGUAAACCUCUUUUGCCGGGGAGCAAAAAGCGGUACGUGUACCGCAUCGAGAGUACCCGGAGAAAAAGCAUCGGCUAACCCCGUGCCAGCAGCCGCGGUAAUACGGGGGAUGCGCGCUGUAUCCGGGUUUAUUGGGUUGAAAGGGUGCGCAGGCGGCGCGUUAAGUAAGCGGUAAAAUUUCGGGGCUCAACCCCGACGCGCCGUUGAAACUGGCUUUCUAGAGUGGGCGAGAAGUAUGCGGAAUGCGUGGUGUAGCGGUGAAAUGCAUAGAUAUCACGCAGAACUCCGAUUGCGAGGGCAGCAUACCGGCUCCCAACUGACGCUCAGGCACGAAAGCGUGGGUAUCGAACAGGAUUAGAUACCCGUGUAGUC